UACGGGGGGGGGCAAGCGUUGUUCGGAAUUACUGGGCGUAAAGGGCUCGUAGGCGGCCAACUAAGUCAUACGUGAAAUCCCUCGGCUUAACCGGGGAACUGCGUCUGAUACUGGAUGGCUUGAAUCCGGGAGAGGGAUGUGGAAUUCCAGGUGUAGCGGUGAAAUGCGUAGAUAUCUGGAGGAACAUCGGUGGCGAAGGCGACAUCCUGGACCGGUAUUGACGCUGAGGCGCGAAAAGCCAGGGGGAGCAAACGGGG
rnacentral:rRNA from 1 species